ensembl:lncRNA
UAAAUUGAAGCUGUCAUGCCUCAACAUCUUCUGUCCCGUGACAUUAAGUGUGCUGUUCACACUAUCCUCCCCUCCAGAAGCAUCUGGUCUCAUUGAUCCAGUCGGGUGGCAGAAUGAAAGCGAGCAGCGCAUCUCUCCUGCCGAUUACCUCCAUCUCUCCAACUGUGCCAAAGUGACUGAAGUCAGCAUAAUAGUCAUAGAGGGAAGAGUCAUCUGCCUCCCGCGGUCUGCCAACACACAGACCACCAUGGGAAGUGAGGGAGCGAAAAAGAAAGAGGAAGAAAAAGAUAACUGGAGAGAUUGGACAGUCGGGAGCUUUUGAAGAGAAGAAAGACCGAAUUCUGCCCCAAG